GCAAGGCUGAUCUCGGGCCACCCGCGGGGCGGGCGACGAUAUCGUCCUAGUGGGCAGGCUGGCUGGCUGGCGUGUCGGGUUUCGGGGAGUAUGGCGGGGAACCGGAGUAGAGGGAUGUGAGCUUUUGAAAGCAGAAUGCCUUUGCUUCCAUGAUCUGAUCAGAGAUUAUGAAGAUACAGUUCCUCCCUUUGGUUUGCAUACAGUUAAGUGGAGCAGAUACAGGUCAAUGGUCAGUGUGCCACUUAAGUAUUCAAGAAGAGAUAUAUCAGCAGGUUGCAGCUGAACAUGGCCUUGAGGUAAAUCCUGCCCCUGUUGAAAUUUGAUUUCAGCAGAUUAUUCAUGGUAAUUUAGGAACUGGAAUAUUUUACAGAAAAAAAAAAGUUUCAUUUGGUUCUGUUCUAGACUUAUUUUUUCUUCUCCUAGAAGAACCAUGUUUAAACAAAACUUCACUAUGCUGAAGGACUGUGAUGCUUUAAGUUGGUCAUCUGCCUCAUUUUAAAGUAAGUGAAUUUUAUAUGUCAACACAAAUUCUAGAUGUUUUUUUUUCUUGAUCAAUAAAACUUGUACUCAAACCUUA